rnacentral:rRNA from 1 species
UAGGGAAUUUUCGGCAAUGGACGAAAGUCUGACCGAGCAAUGCAGCGUGAACGAAGAAGUAUUUCGGUAUGUAAAGUUCUUUUAUUAGGGACGAAAAAGUCGUAAGACAAUUGACGGUACCUAAUGAAUAAGCUCCGGCUAACUACGUGCCAGCAGCCGCGGUAAUACGUAGGGAGCGAGCGUUAUCCGGAAUUAUUGGGCGUAAAGGGUUCGUAGGUGGCAUAAUAAGUCUAUAGUUAAAGUUCGGGGCUCAACCCCGUGAUGCUAUAGAAACUGUUAAGCUCGAAUAUAGGAGAGGAUAAUGGAAUUCCAUGUGUAGCGGUAAAAUGCGUAAAUAUAUGGAGGAACACCAGUGGCGAAAGCGAUUAUCUGGACUAAGAUUGACACUAAGGAACGAAAGCGUGGGGAGCAAACAGGAUUAGAUACCCUGGUAGUCCACGCCGUAAACGAUGAGUAUUAAGUGUUACCGUGAGGUAGUGCUGAAGUUAACGCAUUAAAUACUCCGCCUGAGUAGUACGUACGCAAGUAUG